GUCUUCUCAUUGAGCUCCUUGCUGUCCACUGGUGGCAGUUUAUGGAUUCGCACGAGAAGAAGAGACAAUUCACAGAGCUAGCGUGCGUUUGCUUCCAUCUUGGAGGCACAUUUUGCUGUUCUGUGAGACAGGU